rnacentral:misc_RNA from 1 species
GCGAAUUACUUUCAUCAUCUCCCUUGAAGAUUAGUACUAAGAUAUCAGUAACUAUAUCCAAAAACAUAAAUAAAACUCAACAAAGAUGCGAAGCAUUAUAUGAUGAGCACCGAUUUGCAAAGAUACUGAGAGAAAAGGAGGCAAAAGGAAGUACCGUGUACUCUUUUCAAAGUAAAAUAAACAUUAGAACCUAUUUAUGUUAGC